AAGACCUUGAAAGAGUGCUGACAGCAUCUGCUACUGCUCCCCAAAUGUAAUCCUAUCUCAUUCCAUAGCACAUCCUUGGAAAGAACCCAUUGGAACGCAGGGGACUUUUGGGUGGGGGUGGGUAGAAGUGACAAAAAUUAAAAAACCAAGAAGUUUAGAGUCCCUUUCUCACCACCCUCCAUUUCUUGAGAAGAAUAAGGUCUUAUUUGAUGAUACAGUGUGACACCAAGGGCUUGUCAGGCCAUCAGUCUUCGGAGAGUGGGGAUGAGGGUCAUAGUAGCCAUGCCUAGAGAACCCACUGUCUCCUCUGGGCCCCAGAGACAAAACAUAUUUAUUAGAAGUAAAGAAACAAACCCAGUUGCCCUGACUUUUGUUCUUGGUCUUUGAAGGGUAGACCUGGCCCCCCAGGUGUUCCUGGCAUGCCUGGGCCCAUCGGUUGGCCAGGCCCUGAAGGACCCAGGGGUGAAAAAGGUGACCUGGGUAUGAUGGGCUUGCCAGGGUCAAGAGGACCAAUGGGCUCCAAGGUCAGUGUGGGGUCCAAAUGGACGUUCCCAGAUCUCUGUCAGGCUCUGGAGCAGCUGCUGUCUACAAACAUAGGGACUGGGUGGGGCUGCAGUCCCGGACUAGGGAAUGUCGCGGAUAUUGGAGAGCCUGCCUUUACCAGCCCUUUGGAGAACAUCAUGCCCUGGGAUGCAGGGGCAUAGGGAUGCCAUUCCUGCUG
rnacentral:lncRNA from 10 species